rnacentral:rRNA from 1 species
GCUUGUCUCAAAGAUUAAGCCAUGCAUGUCUCAGUAUAAGCUUUUACACGGCGAAACUGCGAAUGGCUCAUUAAAACAGUUAUCGUUUCUUUGGUGGUUAUUGAUUACAUGGAUAACCGUGGUAAUUCUAGAGCUAAUACGUGCGUAAAUCCCGACUCCUGGAAGGGACGUAUUUAUUAGAUUUAAGGCCAACCGAGCUUGCUCGUCUCUUGGUGAAUCAUGAUAACUUCACGAAUCGCAUGGCCUCGCGCCGGCGAUAUUUCAUUCAAAUUUCUGCCCUAUCAAUUGGCGAUGGUAGGAUAGAGGCCUACCAUGGUGUUAACGGGUGACGGGGGAUUAGGGUUCGAUUCCGGAGAGGCAGCCUGAGAAACGGCUACCACAUCCAAGGAAGGCAGCAGG